rnacentral:rRNA from 1 species
UACGUAGGUGGCAAGCGUUGUCCGGAAUUAUUGGGCGUAAAGAGCUCGUAGGCGGCUUGUCGCGUCGACUGUGAAAUCCCGCGGCUCAACUGCGGGUCUGCAGUCGAUACGGGCAGGCUAGAGUUCGGUAGGGGAGACUGGAAUUCCUGGUGUAGCGGUGAAAUGCGCAGAUAUCAGGAGGAACACCGGUGGCGAAGGCGGGUCUCUGGGCCGUAACUGACGCUGAGGAGCGAAAGCGUGGGGAGCGAACAGG